rnacentral:rRNA from 1 species
GCCCGCUCAGAAACUUAAAGGAAUUGACGGGGGCCCGCACAAGCGGUGGAGUAUGUGGUUUAAUUCGAUGCAACGCGAAGAACCUUACCUGGUCUUGACAUCCCGGAGACCCUUAGGAAACUAGGGGGUGCUUCCAUCUGGAAAAAUCUGGAGACAGGUGCUGCAUGGCUGUCGUCAGCUCGUGUCGUGAGAUGUUGGGUUAAGUCCCGCAACGAGCGCAACCCUUGCCUUUAGUUGCCAGCAGUUCGGCUGGGCACUCUAAAGGGACUGCCGGUGUUAAACCGGAGGAAGGUGGGGAUGACGUCAAGUCCUCAUGGCCUUUAUGACCAGGGCUACACACGUACUACAAUGGCCGAUACAAAGGGCAGCGACACUGCGAGGUGAAGCCAAUCCCGUAAAAUCGGUCUCAGUCCGGAUUGGAGUCUGCAACUCGACUCCAUGAAGUUGGAAUCGCUAGUAAUCGUGGAUCAGCAUGCCACGGUGAAUACGUUCCCGGGCCUU